GACGAACGCUGGCGGCGUGCUUAACACAUGCAAGUCGAGCGGAGCGGCGAACGGGUGAGUAACGCGUGAGUAACUGCCCCCCUCUCUGGGAUAACAGUUGGAAACGGCUGCUAAUACCGGAUAGUGGGGGAUGACUCGCGUCCUAUCAGCUUGUUGGUGGGGUAGUGGCCUACGAAGGCGACGACGGGUAGCCGGCCUGGGAGGGCGACCGGCCAACUUGGGAGGAGAUAGGGCCCAGACUCCUACGGGAGGCAGCAGUGGGAAAUAUUGCACAGUGGGGGAAACCCUGAUGCGGCAACGCCGGGUGCGGGAUGACGGCCUUCGAGUUGUGAACCGGUUACAGCCAUGACGCGGUAGUGGCAGAAGAAGCACCGGCUAACUACGUGCCAGCAGCCGCGGUAAUAC
rnacentral:rRNA from 1 species